AAUGGAACACCAGCUUCGAGAUUUUAUGAUCAGAGUGCCGUCGCGCAUCUUUUUCGCGCACCAUACCAUUUUGAAAAAUCGAUGAGCAUGCCAAAGAAGAAAUUUACUCCGAGAGCCACUUGGAUUGACCUUCAUUGAGAGUAAAACUUCCCCACACUAUAUUUUAUUAGAUCUGUAAAAACUUUAUCCAUUUUCUGACUAUCUGAUAAAAUAGAUACAAUUUCCCUGAAUAAUGGAUCGUCACAAAAGAUUUUUUUUUAAGGCCACUUCGUUAAAAUAGGUGUUUCCAGUACUUUCUCAUUUGGGUAUUUUACACAAAAUCUGGAAUUUUUUUUUAUGUACAUGUCAUUAUUAUCAUCUGUCCCGCGCAACCAAACCAUGCACUUUUCCCGGUCACCAAUGUUCUUAACAAGAUAUCAAGAGAGAGAGGCUGGUCCAUUAUUUGCAUAGUCCAGCCAGCUUUUUUUUUUUGACAACCUUUUUUCGUUCUCUCUCAUGAAGGAUAUGUUUUGAAAAUUAGUCUUACAAAAUACAAUUCCAAACCAACUCAUGCAGUUAUCGUCUUUUCACAGUAUUGAGGAGUCAUCCUUUUUGCUAGCCAGAGUGUUAAUUGGCAAAAGUGAAAAAUUCAUUUGUUUAAUUUUUUAAAUUAUUAACAAGUAGAACCAUGCCAACCAGUUCUGAUGAUGUACCAGAAUGCCUCAAGGAUCAUACUUAUACUAUUUCUACUCUCUGGGCAGACAUUGAUAAUAUUGGCAUCCAUUCAAUAUUUAAUUUAUGUUUGGAAAUGCAAGAAAAAGGCAUGCAUUCCUGAGGAGUCAAUGAUUGGUUGCACCUCUUAAAGAUAACUUUCUGUUAUGAGAAAAGAUGAGAUUCUUGGACUCCUGCAUAGCACCACCAGAAAGGAAAAUCCCAUCAUCAAUGUUGCAAAAUAAAAGUCUUGGACCAAUUUUAAGAUAUAUAUAUUAUACUGUAAGCUGUAUACAUAUUUAUGUAUAUCCUGUCAUUCAGCCAACAGGUUUGGAUUUAGUAUUUCUUUAAAUCUGUUUGAUAUUGUACUUGAAAACUAUUAAUCUGAGCCCCAUUAAAACAAGAGGGAGUGCAGUGGAUGAGUGGUAAGGGAAAUUUUACUUUUUUAAAAUUAAAGUAAGAAUCUAACAAAAGUAAACAUAUAAAAUAUGGUGCAUUCUCCUUAAAACUAAAACCUGGUGCAAAGGUUUAAAAUGUUGGCAAAAAAAAAGCAACAUCAAUUAAAUAUUCUUAAUUCCCUUUGCAAAACUUACUGAGAAGAACAUGCAUGUUGUUCCCUCAUAAGUUUCUUGACAAAGGAAAUCUUGUUUAUAUUAGAUUUGAAUUAUGCAAAUUAAGAAAAAAAUUAUAAUCAUUAUUUCAAAUGGUUGUAUCUAAACCUUAUGAAUUAUUUUUCAGUUAUAAGUAUAUUGAAAUGAAUGGAUAAUCAUGAAAUUGUUAAAUAAUUGCUGCUAUCAUUCCAUUGACUAAAGAACCAUAAUUUUUUUUUAAAAUUAAUUUCAAAAUGAUUUUUUUCAAGCAGAGUUCACAUAGGUCUUGAGUGAAAUUUUUCUUAUUUUUUUACUAAUGCUUCAAUUUUAUUGUAUCAUUAGUUUUUUUAUUUUUAUUACCCAGAAUAUUUUUAAAAUGAGUACACUAUUUUCAUGUAAUAAUGUAACUUGGUAUUCACACAUCAAAAUACGCUAUAAUCUUUAGGCCAUAUAGAUUUGUAUAAAUAUAAAUUAACUUGCUUAAAUACAUUGUAAAUGUAUAUUGUUUGGAUAAGAAUAAAGUUUUUCUGUAGACAA